UACCUGGUUGAUCCUGCCAGUAGUCAUAUGCUUGUCUCAAAGCUUAAGCCAUGCAAGUGUAAGUUCACGCCACGCAUUAGAACGGGCGAAACCGCGAAUGGCUCAGGAACCGGACCUAAUCCUCGGGACCGUAAUCCUCCUCGGAGGCGAUGGAUAACUGUGGCAAUUCUAGAGCUAAUACAUGUGACACAGGCCGCGAUCGGUCGGCGCGUCGCCGUCGCCUGCGUGCCGUCACGCGCGUGGGCACCCGCGUCGACCGUUACGGGUCGCGGCGCUACAUAUUAGACUGAGACCGAUGCGCGUCAUUCCGUCCUCUCGUCGUGGUCGUCGUUGUCGUCACUGUCGCCUUGAGCGGCGGUCGGCGGCGGCGUUUCGCGGGGGGGCCAAAGGGCGGCGCGCUCCGCUUUGGUGACUCUGGAUAACUCACUGGUCGAUCGCACUGGCUUUCACGCCUGGCGACGGGUCUCUCGAGGGUCCGCCCUAUCAACUGUCGACGGUCGGUUAAGUGCCUACCGUGGUUACUACGGGUAACGGGGAAUCGGGGUUCGAUUCCGGAGAGGGAGCAUGCGAAACGGCUACCACAUCCAAGGAAGGCAGCAGGCGCGCAAAUUACCCCUCCCGGCACGGGGAGGUAGUGACGAAAAAUAACGACGCGGGACUCUGUCGAGGCCCCGCGAUCGGAAUGAGUACACUUCAAAUCCGUUAACGAGGACCAACCGGAGGGCAAGUCUGGUGCCAGCAGCCGCGGUAAUUCCAGCUCCGGUAGCGUAUAUUAAAGUUGUUGCGGUUAAAAAGCUCGUAGUCCGAACUCGGGUUCGUGGUCGCGUUCGCGGCCCCGGGGCGGCGGCGCCAUCGUCCGUCGUUGACUUUGGUCGUCCGUGCGCAUUCCCGGCCCUUUCCGCCGGUGUCAACCGCUUGCACAUCCGCCACGCGGUCCUGCCGGCGAAGUUACGCGGGGGAGUAGUAGGUGUUUCCGGCGGGUUUGCCGCGGAGGUUGCGUGGGGGGGUUCCUGCGAGCGUCGCCGUCUGCGGUGCAGCGGCGCCGGGGUCGUUCCGGCGCGCGCGGUCAAAAGGCGGUGCGGUCCAACGCGGCGUUUCUCCCUGUCGGCGGCGGCCAGCGGCGUUCACUCGUCGUCUGCGUCGCCGUCGUCGCCUAAAAGGGCGUGCGUCGCGUCGCUCCGUCUCGCGUUGUCGCCGCGGGCUUCCCUGCCGCUGUUCUUUCCGCGCGGCGGUGGCCUCCUCUUCCCCUCUCGUCCUCCAGUCUACCCUCGGGCCCUGCUCUACCUACCUCCGCGUCUAAUCUUCGCGUCUGUUUUGCGCGCGUGCGCGGUCGGCGGUUUCUCCUCCAAGGGUGCUCUUGACCGAGUGUCCGCGGCGGCCGGUACGUUCACUUUGAAAAAAAAAAUUAGAGUGCUCAGAGCGGGCUGUUCAAGCUUGCAUACGAUAAGCAUGGAAUGAUGGAAGAGGGCCUCGUCUACGUCUGUCGGUCUCCGUCUACGGCGAGGCAAUGAUCGAAGGGAGCGGUCGGGGCCACUCGUAUUGCGACGUUAGAGGUGAAAUUCUUGGAUCGUCGCAAGACGAACUGCAGCGAUGGCGUGUGGCAAGCACGUUUUCCUCGAUCAAGAGCGAAAGUCGGAGGUUCGAAGACGAUCAGAUACCGUCGUAGUUCCGACCGUAAACGAUGCCGACCGGCGAUCCGCCGGCGUUCGCUUCCAUGACCCGGCGGGUAGCCUGCGGGAAACCAGAGUUCGGUUCCGGGGGGAGUAUGGUUGCAAAGCUGAAACUUAAAGGAAUUGACGGAAGGGCACCACCAGGAGUGGAGCCUGCGGCUUAAUUUGACUCAACACGGGAAAACUCACCCGGUCCGGACACCGGUAGGAUUGACAGAUCGAUAGCUCUUUCUCGAUUCGGUGGGUGGUGGUGCAUGGCCGUUCUUAGUUGGUGGAGCGAUCCGUCUGGUUGAUUCCGAUAACGAACGAGACUCCGGCCUGCUAACUAGUGCGCCGAUGUGUGUGUUUAUUCAACGGCGGGCUCGGCGUUCAUCGCAGCGCCCGGGUCCGGGUCGGUUUUCUCACGCACUUCUUAGAGGGACGGGUGGCAGAAAGCCACACGAGGCGGAGCGAUAACAGGUCUGUGAUGCCCUUAGAUGUCCGGGGCCGCACGCGCGCUACACUGGAGGUAUCAGCGGGGACUUCGCCCCGGCCCGAGAGGGUCGGGAAACCUCUUUAACCACCUCCCGUGAUAGGGAUCGGGGCCUGUAACCAACCCCGUGAACGAGGAAUUCCCGGUAGGCGCGGGUCAACAGCCCGCGUCGAUCACGUCCCUGCCCUUUGUACACACCGCCCGUCGCUACUACCGAUCGAACGGUCCGGUGAGGUCCUCGGAUCUGGCCGACGACGCCGCCGGGCAGCGUGCACGUGGCGCAGCGGCUGCGGUCUCCGCCGCCGUUUCACGCGCGUGUCGUACUCGCCUCGGCGUUCGAUGCCUGGAGAAGACGACCGAACCCGAUCGUUUAGAGGAAGAAAAAAAGUCGUAACAAGGUUUCCGUAGGUGAACCUGCGGAAGGAUCAUU
rnacentral:rRNA from 1 species